UACGUAGGUGGCGAGCGUUGUCCGGAUUUACUGGGCGUAAAGAGCGCGCAGGCGGUCGGGCAAGUCGCGUGUGAAAGCCCCCGGCUCAACUGGGGAGGGUCACGCGAUACUGCUCGACUUGAAGGCAGGAGAGGGAAGUGGAAUUCCCGGUGUAGUGGUGAAAUGCGUAGAUAUCGGGAGGAACACCAGUGGCGAAGGCGACUUCCUGGCCUGUUAUUGACGCUGAGGCGCGAAAGCUAGGGUAGCAAACGGG
rnacentral:rRNA from 1 species